rnacentral:rRNA from 1 species
GGGGUAAAAUCCGUAGAUAUCACUAGGAAUACCUAAAGCGAAGGCGAUCUCCUGGAACAUUACUGACGCUAAGGCGUGAAAGCGUGGGGAGCAAACGGGAUUAGAUACCCCGGUAGUCCACGCCCUAAACGAUGAACACUAGUCGUCGGGAAGCUUGUCUUCUCGGUGAUGCACUUAACAGAUUAAGUGUUCCGCCUGGGGAGUACGGNCGCAAGAUUAAAACUCAAAGGAAUAGACGGGGACCCGCACAAGUGGUGGAGCAUGUGGUUUAAUUCGACGAUACGCGAAGAACCUUACCUGGCCUUGACAUUGAUUGAAUACACCAGAGAUGGAGUAGUGCCCUUCGGGGAGCAUGAAAACAGGUGCUGCACGGCUGUCGUCAGCUCGUGUCGUGAGAUGUUGGGUUAAGUCCCGCAAACGAGCGCAACCCNUCGUCCUUAGUUGCCAGCAGGUUAAGCUGGGCACUCUAGGGAGACUGCCUUCGUAAGGAGGAGGAAGGUGAGGACGACGUCCAGUCAUCAUGGCCCUUACGGCCAGGGCUACACACGUGCUUACAAUGGGGCGUACAGAGUGUUGCGAUACCGCGNGGUGCGACCUAAUCACUUAAAGCGUCUCUCAGUUCGGAUUGGAGUCUGCAACUCGACUCCAUGAAGCUGGAAUCACUAGUAAUCGUAGAUCAGCAAUGCUACGGUGAAUACGUUCCCGGGUCUUGUACUCACCGCCCGU